CACGUGUGAACAAGAGAUUCCUCAGAUGCAUAGGGUCAGUCCAGCCGGUUGUCCAUGCUUCUGCUCCUAGGGCCUGAGUUCCUGGAAAUAGCUGAACUGGUCGAGGGUCGCCCAAUAACAAGGUGACUUCUCAAUGCCUGUCCUCUGGGACGAGUGCCACCAUCAUGAUGGUCAGCUGUGCCUUCAGUUUCUCUCCGGUUCCAAGCUGCCUAGUGCAUCCCCAACAGAAUCCAAGACGUCCCUUUUCCUGUCUAAAAAAACAGUCCCAUUCUCCUCAAUUUCAAGCUGAACGACAGCGUGUGCUCUGGAGGAGAGAGAAGUCAGCCGCUCUGGUAAACUUCCCCCUCUCUUCCCCCCAAAAGAGGAAGGAGCGAAAGAAACAGCGGUUGUGCUCAGAACGCAGGAAGUCAAAAUGCAGGUGCUUUCUUUAAAAAUAAAAAUGGAGCAGUAACUUUUCAAGCCUGCAGCUGCAGCUGAUUUUUGGGUUGCAACCUAGUAUGUGCACCCCCCCUCUCUGCGCUCAAUUUGGCGAGGAGCAGCAGCAGAAGGCAACAGCUGCAGGAGGACCACACGGCUUUUGCAAAGGCAGCGAAGAUGGAUUACAACUGCCGUCUUCCCUGAUUAUUGGCCAUGCUGGCUAGGUCUGGUGAGAGUUGGAGUCCGACAACAUCUGGAUGGCAACAGAUUUCCAACCACCGCCUUAACAGUUUAUAGUAAUGGUUAAGAUACACAGCCAAAGCUGAAGGUGAAGCAAUGUCUUCUAAAACCUUUCUGAAGUGAGAGCGGAAGAUGAAUAAAACUUUAAAUGGAAGGGAUAGAGCUUCAAUAUCCUGCAAAGCUCUAUGCAAAAACACACUGCGAAUUAUAGAAACGAUGCAUAACAGAAUCCAGCUUUUGACAGAAAACUUCAGAUUACCUGUAAAAGAAAUGUUUACUUUUUAAAAAAAGUGCAGAACACAUGCAUUCCCUGAGAUGCUUCUGCAACAAUGCAACACCAGGUGAUGUGCAGUUAUUGAAGUUGCUUUUGCCCAUCAUGGUGCAACAUGAAAAACCACCUGUUGGAGCUCAUGUAACUUUUAAAGAGCAGAAAGGUCUUAGGCUUUAGAUUACACAACUGUGGCUUCCAGGGAUAGGCUUUGUUACAGAAACAAUUCUACUAUUUGCAUUUUACAUAGUGGCAUGUGUAUAUAUAAUUCAAAACUGUCUAGUCCAAGGGUACACUCAUUUUUUUUUACCAGUCCUGUUCUUUUAACAGUAGCUUGCAACACAGAAUGGUAGCAGGUUAGGAUAUUUCUGACAGGACAAACACUACUUAAUUUAUGUACAUUACACACCUUUCCUGAAGUUUGCACAAAGGAAUCGCAUGGAAACUUUCUCUAGUAGACAGUUACAACUGGUUACUACUGACAGAAGGUAAUAUGUUUAACAUAUUUUUCAUUUUUACAUGUAAGCAUGUGUGCAAGAUCCACUGGCAACUUGGAUAUUUUCUAUUAUAAUAUUAGUUUGUACCUAAGUCCCUUUUCCAAAAUCUGAAGAUAGGCUUAGAUAAAAGUUGCUGCAAUAUGUCUGUGAUUUCCACGUGAGAUAAAAUCAUACCAUAUUAUAUAAAUAUCCUUGCCUUUAGCUAAUUUAAGUUGGCAGGUCAGUUUUUCUGCAACACAUCCCACAUUUGCCAUAGCUCAGUGUACCAACUUACACUUGAUUGGUACAAUGGGUUGUAUCCAGACAGUUGAACUUACCCAUUGAAAGGGACCGACUAGUCACAAGUAACUUGUCCUAUUGAUUUAAAUGGGAUCCAAGUACAACUCUAUGUAUCCUGGCCCCAAUUCUAACAAAAUAUCCAAUGUAUGGAUAUCAG